GACGAACGCUGGCGGCGUGCCUAAUACAUGCAAGUCGAACGCUUCUUUCCUCCCGAGUGCUUGCACUCAAUUGGAAAGAGGAGUGGCGGACGGGUGAGUAACACGUGGGUAACCUACCCAUCAGAGGGGGAUAACACUUGGAAACAGGUGCUAAUACCGCAUAACAGUUUAUGCCGCAUGGCAUAAGAGUGAAAGGCGCUUUCGGGUGUCGCUGAUGGAUGGACCCGCGGUGCAUUAGCUAGUUGGUGAGGUAACGGCUCACCAAGGCCACGAUGCAUAGCCGACCUGAGAGGGUGAUCGGCCACACUGGGACUGAGACACGGCCCAGACUCCUACGGGAGGCAGCAGUAGGGAAUCUUCGGCAAUGGACGAAAGUCUGACCGAGCAACACCGCGUGAGUGAAGAAGGUUUUCGGAUCGUAAAACUCUGUUGUUAGAGAAGAACAAGGACGUUAGUAACUGAACGUCCCCUGACGGUAUCUAACCAGAAAGCCACGGCUAACUACGUG
rnacentral:rRNA from 1 species